GAUGAGCGCUGACAGAAUGCUUAACACAUGCAAGUCAGCUUGAACUUCGGUUUGGGUGGCGGACGGGUGAGUAACGCGUAAAGAACUUGCCUCACAGAUAGGGACAACAUUUGGAAACGAAUGCUAAUACCUGAUAUUAUGAUUUUAGGGCAUCCUAGAAUUAUGAAAGCUAUAUGCGCUGUGAGAGAGCUUUGCGUCCCAUUAGCUAGUUGGAGAGGUAACGGCUCACCAAGGCGAUGAUGGGUAGCCGGCCUGAGAGGGUGAUCGGCCACAAGGGGACUGAGACACGGCCCUUACUCCUACGGGAGGCAGCAGUGGGGAAUAUUGGACAAUGGACCAAGAGUCUGAUCCAGCAAUUCUGUGUGCACGAUGAAGUUUUUCGGAAUGUAAAGUGCUUUCAGUUGGGAAGAAAAAAAUGACGGUACCAACAGAAGAAGUGACGGCUAAAUACGUGCCAGCAGCCGCGGUAAUACGUAUGUCACAAGCGUUAUCCGGAUUUAUUGGGCGUAAAGCGCGUCUAGGUGGUUAUAUAAGUCUGAUGUGAAAAUGCAGGGCUCAACUCUGUAUUGCGUUGGAAACUGUGUAACUAGAGUACUGGAGAGGUAAGCGGAACUACAAGUGUAGAGGUGAAAUUCGUAGAUAUUUGUAGGAAUGCCGAUGGGGAAGCCAGCUUACUGGACAGAUACUGACGCUGAAGCGCGAAAGCGUGGGUAGCAAACAGG
rnacentral:rRNA from 1 species